rnacentral:rRNA from 1 species
UACGUAGGGUGCAAGCGUUGCCCGGAUUUAUUGGGCGUAAAGGGCGCGUAGGCGGCUCGGCACGUCCGUUGUGAAAUCGCCCGGCUCAACUGGGCGGGGUCAGCGGAUACGGCCGAGCUUGAGCAAGCUAGGGGGCAAUGGAAUUCCCGGUGUAGUGGUGGAAUGCGUAGAUAUCGGGAGGAACACCAGUGGCGAAGGCGGCGACCUGGGCCAAUAUUGACGCUGAGGUGCGAAAGCGUGGGGAGCAAACAGGG